rnacentral:lncRNA from 1 species
GACGAUGACGAUGACCCCUUCCCUCCGAUUUUCUUUCUCCAUCUCUUCCCACUGUUAGUUCUUUCACUCCUCUGCUAGUUUCUGCCACCGUGGGGGUGCUCCCAAAAUCUAAGAGUUUUCCAGUGAGUUUGCUCCCAAAAUCGUGUAAUUUUAUGCUUUGAAUCGAUAAAUUAUGCUUUUAAGCUCAAAUUCAUUUUUGUCUGGUUGCUGCUAUUUCGUUGUAAUUUUCUUUCUUUUUUGUUUAAAUGAGUGCUGCCAUAAGUAGAUAAAAGAGGACUCUUGUACUGACACGUGGCGUUCGACCAGUUUCCUUUAGGAAAUACACAUUAGUAGAUUAGUAGAGUCAGCAGUAAGUUAGAAAAGGCCAAGGAGUAGGAGACAAUGCCCUUCUUCAACAGUGCAAGACCUGAUUAAGUCCUCUUAGUGCUAAGAGGUCAGAGGUUGAACCUUAUUAUCAGUCAAUAUCCCCUUAUAAAUAUUUUAGAUAUAUAUCAAAAAAAUUUUAAAACUUGUCAUUUAAGUUGGUGAUCAUCAUAACAUUUUGUGUCAUAAAGAUUAUAGGAUAGUCUUGCAAUUUCCUAUAAUUUGUAGUUGGUAUAAACCACAUCCUGAAGUUAUGUUCUGAAAGUCUGUUGGAGUAUUAUACUUGUAUAACAUCUAGCAGAACAAAUGAACUAUUAUAACAAUGCCAUCUUUUGUUCAUAUAUCCAGCUAUUCUACCACUGAAAUAUACAACACUUCUGAAUGUUUUGAAGGUUGCUAUGGACAUCUACUGCAAGUGAACUCAUAAGCAACCUGUAGCAAGCUUUUAGAAGCAUCAUCAUCUGGCAACUUCAAAAGGUGAGCAACUUUAGAAAACCCAACAUUUUGCUUAAGAUAUAAACUUUCAUUAGUCAAGUCAAGCUCCAUCUCCUCUUUAAAGAGCUCAGGCUUUGAUAAUGCCCACUGCAUUGCCCAUAUCGCUAAUGGUCGCAUGUAACAAAUAGAUCUAUACUGGUCAUCAGUAUUCCACCCUUCUGGAAUCUGAAAUGAAUAACUAUGACCAGAAAACAAGUAAUGAGUAAGUUUUAGUGGAAAUUGCUAGAGAGAGAAAAGAUACAAUAAACCCUUGUUUGCUUUCAUACUUUUACAGAACAAUUUUGUUAUAAAAUUCAUGAGUUUGUAAUAAAUUUUAAGUGAUAGUAUAUUUGAAUUCUAUUGUUUGGAAUAACUGAAAAAUAAAAGGGUUGUAUUUAGUUAUAAAGAGACAUAUUUACUUUAAAUAAGGUUAUCUAGGGUUUUAACAGUGAGUCUCUUUAAAUGAAUUUAAUUCUUGCAAUAUCUUACUAUUUUGGACAUCAUUUCAUUUCUUCUAAAACGACUCAUACAUGCUGCUCUACUGAUUUCUUGAUAUUCAGUUUCCUACUUUUUCUGUUUUCAAUACUUUAUUGUACUCAUAUUGUUAUUGUUCUAUAAGCUUAUCAUCAUACUAUUAAAGGAUUCUUUGAUACCACACAGCUUCAAGAAAUAUUAGCUGAACAUAAAGCAUAUCUAAACAUUAAAAUAGGAAAUUAUAGUUAGUGAAAGAGAAGAAGACUCACCCGAGACCUUCUUGUGACCAUGCCGCUUGAUAGAUACCUGCAGCAGUCUGAAAUGCCAUUUCCACCAUGUCCUCUUGAAUCAUAGACGCAGCAAGACCAUAUGUAACUCCAGGCCAUAUUUCUCUUGAUUGCAAUGCUGACUUAUCUACUCUUCCAUCUGGUAGCAUCCCAUUGACUGCACCCCGCAUUCCCCCUUUGACUUGUAAGACGUUAAACUUGUAAAUCUUUUCAAGGGCGCUUCUCAAUUUUUCCUCAUCAACGAUCGGGGAAAGGCCACAUGCCCUGGCAUACCUGUAAAACAAUCAAAACAUUAAGCCCAUUUCCAAAUGUCAGGAAGUAUAUGUAAACUACUCCUGUAAAAAAGAGUUAAGCACUUAAAUAAUGUAAGUUUAUCCUAUAGGUUAUUAUUAUCAAUACUCUGAAUCUCGACAUAAAACCUUUAGGAACUAGAGAAUUUCAUGCUCACCACUGCCCAGCCAACUGAUCAGCUUGAAUAGAACUAUUACCACUGCUGUCAUAAUUGAAGUAGGAACCAUUCCAUAGUGUGCUAUAUACAGCUUUUGCCUUCUGAAACUUGACCCAGAAGUAGCUAGCAGAUGCAUUGUCACCAACUUCACACGCCAGGGCUGAAGUAGCCUGGAGCGCCGCCACCCAAAGCCCACCACAAUAUGCACUCACACCAGUAACAGACCAUGCAUCAUAGGUUUGAUCAGGGAAUCCCUCGUUCUCAAUCAUACCAUCUCCAUCCUUGUCAAACUGAUCCAUAUAAGCCAUUGCAACAUAAACUGAUGGCCAAACAGCUUGUGCAAAACUUUUAUCCCCAGUAGCAAUUACAUCCCUGUAUAUUUGGAGUACAAAUUUAGAAUUCAAGUCCUUCCAUCUUGAUGUACUGAAAAGAUUAUAAGCAUUUACUUCAAACCAAGGGUCAUUAAGCCCAAUAUCAUGUGGAACAGCACCGAGAACUGUUCGUGGAACCUGCUUUCCAUCGCUCAUCACUUGCAUCUUAGUAGGAUCAUGCAUCAUCACUCCAGCUGCAAAGUCUCUUUGGAUGCUUAGCUCAAGUUUCGGGAAUAGCAUUAGAAGUGCAAAAGAUGAGUAGAAAUGAACAUCAUAGGUAUUCCACAUGAGGUAUUCAGAACCUUCAAGGUACAGGAAUUGACCAAUAUUUUCUUCUCCAAUUUGGAGCAAAUUUGUUCCGAAAGCAGCAUUUGAGAUUUCUGGAUUUUGUAUUUGCUCAUAUAUAGAUGCCAUCCUUUCUAGGAUUCCAAUAGCUGUAUCAUUCUUGUGAGCCAUACCAUAAGUAUUUCCGAAAUCUGAGCUUGACUUAUCCAGAAAAAAUUUUCUAUCUUUAAUUGCUUGAAAACUUUGCAUUGGAGGUGAUCCAUCUGGGGAAAGUAAAUGUUUAAUAUUGAUAAAGAGUAAACCAGGUUCCUGCAAUUACAUAUUGAACUACAUAAAUCAUGAUCUGUCAUAAUAUACCUGUCCAAACAGUUCCCCCAGCAGUGAGAUAAUAAAGCUCAUUGAAGAGAGCAAUAGGAUACCUAGAAACAAAUUUCUUGCAGUUAAUUUCUUUUUAAAUAUUAUAGCCAUAAAAAUGAAGAAAAAGAAUUAAACUAUUGGAAGUUUUAAUAUGGACUCAUACUUUUAGCAGAAGAUUCGUCUUAUCUUACCAUUCAGGAAGUCUUUUGUCUUCGAGAAUUGGUCUUUGCCAUGCUUCUAUCUCAGAUUCCCAAUGAGCAUGCUCUAGUUUCAAAAGGAAGAAAAAGGAAAAAUAUUUGAGUUCCGUAUUAUUCUCUCUCCAUUUAUUUCUUUCUUUUUUUUUUUUUUUUUUUUGAAAAAAGCUACUGCACUUGUUUUUGGUUUUUAUUUUUCCUUUUGAUACGCCUUCCAUCCAAUUUCGGACAUAACAACUAGGACCUCAGUGAAUGACUAUUCAGUGACCAGUAUUGCUCGUAAGAAAAAAAAUACUGAUUCUGUUCAUAUCAACAAACAGAAAGCAACUCGAACUAUAUCAAAUUUUGCAAAGAUGAUGCAUAAGUAAAAUUCUCUUCUUAAUGCUGUAGAGAAAUAUAUGCUGGUUUUUGGUUUUUAUUUUUCCUUUUGAUACGCCUUCCAUCCAAUUUCGGACAUAACAACUAGGACCUCAGUGAAUGACUAUUCAGUGACCAGUAUUGCUCGUAAGAAAAAAAAUACUGAUUCUGUUCAUAUCAACAAACAGAAAGCAACUCGAACUAUAUCAAAUUUUGCAAAGAUGAUGCAUAAGUAAAAUUCUCUUCUUAAUGCUGUAGAGAAAUAUAUGCUGGUUUCUGAAAUGCUUGUGACAGAAGAAUUUGCAUUUCAUAAUGUUUUGAAAAUUAAAUGUUUCAUUCAUAAAAAUGAUAUUAUUUCUUUUUUUAUUAUAAAUACCUGCAUAUAGUUUCCGGGCUGAAUCUCCAAUUAUAGCAGUAAAGAGGAUGGGAUAUUCCCAAGAAUGGCUCUCUAAAGUUCGAGGGAUUUCAGAAGACUGAUUCUGAACAAUUCUAUUACAGUCCCAAGUUUGGAUCUAGUUGUGUAUAUUUGAUUAGAUUUAAACAUAGAAUUGGGGCUUGUUAAGGGAGUACCUUACAAUCUCUUAGGACUUGUUGACAAAGAACCCUACAAUCUCUUAGAGCUCGUUAAGGUAGAGCUUGUUAAGGAAGGACUCUAGAAUCUCUGAGUUUUAGGAUCUCAAAAACUAGAGUAAAAUUCAUUGAUUGUUGAAAAUCCCUCGAUCAUUGUAAUAUCUAGUUUGAGGGUUUUGAAAUCUCAUAUAAGAGGUAGAAUUCUGUUGCAUUCCUCAUGAAUGAGGGAUUUCAUGACCAUUUAUUAUAAAAAAACGCCCUUUGUUUCUACUGCUCUAAUCUUCAUACCAAAGAAAUGAAACAACAUAAUGGAAUCAGAUAUCCAGAUUUUCAAUUCCAUAUAUUCUGAAAAUCUUCAAUCCAAAUGGGGCCUAAAAUUACCAAGAAUAGCAUCAUGUGCAAUAUCAGCAGCUGCAUCCCCUAGAGUGCCAUAGAAUUUUGUAUAACGCCUGUUUUUGAGGUGUUUUUAUCAGUUCAAGGAAUGCAUAUAACAUAACAAACCAAGUAAUAGCGCAAGUUCUAGGGAACAAAAGGCAGUUCACCUAUGAUAACUUCUUCCGCUAAAUCUUACUUCUGGGCUGUCCCAUGCCAAUGAAAAUGUUACAGUACGGACACAGUCAGGAGGAAUAGACACCGAGGCUGCUAUCGCUGCACCAAUGGACGAUCCUGGUUCUGAAGGUGAGGUUUUGUAGGAGCCUAGGUGAUCAAAUGUUCCAUGCUACAAGAAUAAAGGUUAGAAAAUUCAAAAAACUUUGCGAAAUCCUUGUAUCGUUGUCAAGUAGAAAUUGCAUAUUAGUCCCUACAAAAUUUGUGCUCUUGAAAGGUAGAAAUGCGGUCAUGACAAGAAGAGAAGACGUACCUUUUUAAUUUCCUCCCACAUUUCUUUUGCUGUAAUGCCCUGAGAAUUGCCUGAUGUAGCGAAGCAAGGGCAUUCUGAUACAUGUAUAUCAGGUGUCUCUUGUGCUGCAAUGGCAAAAGUAAAUGGAGGCUGUCCAUCUGGUGUUCUGCAGGAAUUAGGCUUAGGAUUAGAGUUACAAGGAGGCCUUGAUAUCAUAUCAAGCAUAUGGAAGGGAAUUUUACUUGUUAAAUUGGGAGCUAGAACUAUUUUCAGAAAUUAGGACUCACUUGUGCUGUAAAUUGACUACAUGAACUCCAUCUUCUUUCCUGUUAUGAGCUAAUAACUGUAUUAGUUGAUUGAACUAUUAGAUUAGAUGAAAUAUCAACUUGCAGCAGAACAUUAUAUCUGGUGCAAAUGAUAAGUUCCAGUUAAAUAAAUAUAUAGAACUUACAUGAUAAUUGAGUUGGAAUGAUGACCAGAAAAUCCUGAGACACCACCAACCGAAUUCUGGACGAUGAAAAGUUAAAAUUUUAAAUAGGUUAUGUCAGACAAAUUUGUAAAAACUCCAUUCUCUUUUUUUUCUUCUAUGAUACUAUAACCACAUUCCUGCAGCUAGUCUGCUUAAAAAGAAAGAAAAAUUCUAUGAAGAACAUGUUCCUAAACUUACAGCCCAUGUAAAGAGCAGAGUGACAUCUGCUGAAGUCCUUCCAUAAUUAGAUAACUGAAAUAAGCAUAUAAUAACAUACUUAAGUCCUCAAUCAAGCUAAAGAGAACUAAUAAUGACAAGAUUACAUUUCUUUGAGUCUCUGUCUUACUGUGAAUGUAAAGACUGAUACAGGAAAGCUGCUUUCUUUAUAGUUGUGAGGAAUGAAAGGUGAGAUUUGGCGCGAAACAAUUUUAAGUUCUGGAUCUGGUUCAUCUGGUUUACAAAUAUUUGUUAUAUUUCUAAUUAUGAAUAUCUAAUUCCUAAUUUUAUGUCUGCAGUGUCACUGAAGCAGAUAUUACCUUCAUAGGUUGUCCAGGCCCUUGGAAACAAACCAUGGUAUGUACAUUUUUCGCCUUUCAGAUUCCAAUCCCAUGAUUCAAUUCCUGAGCCUGUGCUUU